AACUUUUAAAGCAGUGCUUCGGCCGUUCGGCGUUCCCGGGACUCCUCCUUUCUCUCGUAACAUUCCUUGAGAGAAAUUUGAGGAGCUGGAGUUGGUCUCCAAUGGGUCGUCGACUGUGCCAAGUCUGCAACGAAGCUCAAUCCAAGUACAAGUGUCCCUCAUGCCGUGCGCCUUAUUGUUCUGUUCCCUGUUUCAAAAAACACAAAGAAACCCCAUGCGUUUUGCCAGAGGAGAAACCAAAAAGCGCAUCUGUUUUGCCAGUGCCAUCUGAGGAAAAACCAACUGCUGCUCCAGAAUCAGUGGUCAAAAGGCCAAUAACUGUUACUGAACCAAGUGCCGUGCUGGAAAGGCAGCAACUAGAGGCUAUAGGUAUGGAUCUAUAUAGCUUGGAAGUCUACACAAGAUGGGCUACUGGGUGGAAAUUGCAACCCUGGGCUUACAUAUUUUUGAGGGAUCUAAGUUUCAGCUAUGAGAAUGACGACCCUUUUAUGCUUCUUCCAGUGAAAUUCGCGAUGCUUUGAAAGAUGAAAGUCUUCAAAGACUCAUUGAGAGUAUAGAUUGUUCUCCAGAUGCAGAGAAUGAACUUGAUAAAGCUAUGGAUGUGGAGAUGUUUCGAAUAUUUACUGACAAGAUCCUAUCUACCAUCAACCCAUAACUACAGGCUGUCAUAGACGAGAGCAAGUUUUGAGAGGGACUUGAGACCCAAUUUUAAAGCUCUCCACCAUCCACAAACACUAGCGUAAUUGCAUAAAAUUCUAUAGAGUGCUGCCAUAUGGGGUCCUGGUCUUCUAUUUUUGCAUCGUCCAUCUGUUUCUGAAGAAUAAGAAUAGGGUCUUCAGGCUUGAUGGAUAUUGUAAGGUAUAAUGUGUAACAGCUUCGCUGGAGGCAUCAUACAAAAAUCAAAAAUGCUUAAGAAUCUGCAUCUCUUGUUUGCAAAAAUGAUACAUUACAAACAAUACAAACGAGAUUGGCUUCAAUUUGCUUGUAAGAUUAUUAGUGUCGUUUUGUGUUAUAUGUAAUUUCACCUACUCUUCUAAUCCUGGAUAACCAACCAGGAGUACUUUUUCA